CUUGCUUUGGUAACAUAUACUAACAGUGGAAUGAUACAGAGAAGAUUAACAUGGCUGAUGUGCAGGGAUGACACGCAAAUUCGUGAAGUGUUUUGUAUUUUA
ensembl:snRNA U6 U6 spliceosomal RNA